GAUGAACGCUGGCGGCGUGCCUAAUACAUGCAAGUCGAGCGAACAGACGAGGAGCUUGCUCCUCUGACGUUAGCGGCGGACGGGUGAGUAACAUGUGGAUAACCUACCUAUAAGACUGGGAUAACUUCGGGAAACCGGAGCUAAUACCGGAGAAUAUAUUGAAGCGCAUGGUUCAAUAGUGAAAGACGGUUUUGCUGUCAAUUAUAGAUGGAUACGCGCAGGAUGAUGUAGUUGGUAAGGUCACGGGUUACCAAGGCAACGAUGCGUAGGCGACCUGUGAGGGUGGUCGGCCACACUGGAACUGAGACACGGUCAAGACGCCUACGGGAGGCAGCAGUAGGGAAUCGUCCGCAAUAGGCGAAAACCUGACGGAGCAACGCCGCGUGAGUGAUGAAGAUCUUCGGAUCGUAAAACUCUGUUAUGAGGUAAGAACAAAUGUGUAAGUAACUAUGCACGUCUUGAUGGUACCUAAUCAGAAAGCCACGGCUAACUACGUG
rnacentral:rRNA from 1 species